GUGUUAGGGAGAAAAUAAAGUGAGAUUUCAAACACUGGUUUUGUAAAAGAUAAAGGAUCAUGAAACAAUUUAUUUUCUGAAACCCUUGGCAAAGAGCAACAAUUUUUAUGCAAAACAACAUCUACCUAGCUUUACUGACUAUAUAAAUGUUUUGAUAACGCAUCUCUCAAAAAUUCUACAAUCACAGAAUUGUUGCGACAUUGGAGGAGGCCAUUUGGCCCAUCCUGUCUGCACCAGCUUGUUAAAUGAGGUAUCAUUAGCUAGUGCUAAUCUCCAGUUUUUUUUCUCCCCAUACUCUUUUUGUCCAAGUAAUAAUUCAGUGCCCUCUCAAAUGCUUCCACUACACAUCCAAGCAGGGCAUUCCAUAUCCUAGAAUACCAUUCAGUAUUCCCUAGAUACAGGAGUCAUCCCUCGAGCUUGGAAAAUUGCCCGUUAUUCUUCCUCUUUUAUUUUUUUAAAAAAAAAGUAAACCUGUGAAUUACAGACUAGUUAGCCUUUCGUCUGUGAUGGGGAAAUAGUUAGAGUCUAUAAUAAGGAUGUAACUGAACAAUUUGAAAGUUUUCAGGUAAUCAGGAAGAGCCAUCAUGGAUUCGUGACAGGUCUGACAAACCUCAUUGAAAUUUUGGAAAAAGUGACUAAGGUAAUGGACAGGGGUAUGUCUAAUGAUGUUAUUUAUAUGGACUUCCAAUAGGAAUUUUAUCAAGUCCAUUAAAAGAAAUUGCUAACAAAAGUAGAAGCCCAUGGAAUUGAGGACAGACUACUGACAAUGCUGGAAAAGUGGUUGAGUUGCAGGUUUUGCAGAAGGCAUCAAAUUUGACUGGAAAGGUCUUCAAUUCAUCAGAAAUAUUUACUGGAAUUGGGUAGCAGCAAUCCAAUCGAAGGUGUACUUAAAGGAAUGGAUACAGGAGACAAUACCACUAGACCAUCGCUUCCCUGAUUCACAUCACACUACUGACAAGCAAUGACCAACUGCAGCAAGAGAGAAUGUAUCCAUUGUCCUUUGACAUUCAAAGGCAUUACCAUCACUGAAUACUCUGCUGUCAACAUUCUGGAGUUACCAUUUGAAGAAAAACUGGACCAGCUGUAUCAAAACUGUGGCUUCAAGAGCAGGAGAGCAACUCGCGUUCUGCCCUUCCAGUGCCCAAGGCACAACUCAGAGUGUGGUGGAAUAUUUUCCACUUACCUGGAUGGAUGCAGUUCCAACAACCCACGAGACAUUUGCCAUCAUCCAGGGCUAAGCAGCCCAUUUGGUUUGCAUCCCUCGCAUUACUUCGAACCUUCGCCACAGAUGUACAGUGUGUUCCAUCUGCAGAUGCAGAAAUUCCCAAGGCUCCUUUAACAGCAUUUUUGAAAUCCACAACCUCUACAGCCUAGAAGGACAGGGGUAGCAGGUCAAGAUCAGAGUAGUGCUGGAAAAGCACAGAAGGUCAGGCAACAUCUGAGAAGCAGGAAAAUUGACAUUUUGGGCAAAAGCCUGCAUCAGGAAUCAUCAAGAGAUAGCAGGUGCCUUGGGAACCACAUCAACUGCAAGGGAGUCCUGGAACUCCCUUUCUAACAGCCUCCACACUCCAAGAAUUGCAUUGGUGGUUGUGGAGCAGACCAAGCCCUCUUCAAACAUAUCAAGGAGAUCGCCUAGGCGCUAACUUUUAUUUUAAAGGUAGUGUAAGGUGUUGUGUAAUUUGAUUGGUUAUACUACAUGGCUUUAUUCUUAUCCUAUAGUUAAAAUGCAAAUUUUAAAAAUUGCAAUAACUUUAUUAUUCUGUUAACAUUUUCAGUAGAGUUAGAGUAUUUGACUACUAAACAGCAACUGUUCCAAUAUAGUAGCAUCCCAUGAAUGCACCCUUGGGCAAAGUCAGUAAAAGAGAUUUGUCUGGAAUGCAAUUCUGACAGCGGAGAGAGAGCCCAAGAUUUUAGCUGUAGCAGAGAAAGAUGUAGCAGGUUCCACAACCAACUUCAAAACCCACCAACCACUGAAAGCCAAGCUAAAACCUUGGUUCUGCCCAUUCAUGCUACUUUUUUUCCAACAUUUUUUUAAAAAGCAAGGCCUCACUUUUUAUUGGCUUGGAGGAGACCACUCUGCAACUAUGGCUCAAAACUUUGCUUCAGAAAACAAAAAAACACAGGAUGAAAUACAUCUCAUAAAGCCAACGUAUCAUUACAGGUUUAAGAAAGUGGAUUAUCACCUUUUUAGAGUAAUGGAUGAUGGGCAAUAAAUGAUGGCCUUGGCAAUGAUGCCUUCAUCCCACUAACAAAUAAAAAGAAAAGUGAAUCGUAGCGCAUUCGUACAGAGCAAAGGAAGAAAAUCGACUGCUUAAGAAGGAUUCUAAGGGUAAGCUAGGUGGAGAAAAGAGCUUUACAAAGUGCAGUCUCAGGCCAAAAGAACAAGAAAACUCUUAAAUAUUAACAAAAAGAAGCAUAUGGUGUUCAUCAGUCAUUUUAUCUGUGCAGAAAUGCUGGAGCUUAAUGACCACUGGAAGAAUUAAUGGAAGAAGAGCAAGAGACUGACAGAAAAGGGAGUACACAGACAGUCUUAACAGUUGACUUCUCCAGAACUACAGUAACAUGGCUAUGGUUGGAAAGUUUGAAGAUCUGUUCUAGCUUGUGCCAUACUAUAUCACAUGUAACAAGACCAACAAGUAUCAUUUGCAACAGUAAUACCAUAUUACUGCUGCCACUGACAAUAUUCAACUUGGUAGCUAAACAAGAUAUUUGUCGUUAUUUAUUUUCAAAAAUAACAAUGAAAUUUGCUUUCACUAUGUUAUUAAGAUGGGUGAGUUUGGUGGGCGUAAUGGCCUAGUGGUAUAAUAACUAAAACUAUUAAUCCAAAGACCCAGGUAAUAUUUUGGUGACCCAGGUUUGAAUCCUACCAUGGCAGGUGGAAAUUUGAAUUCAAUAAAUAUUUGGAAUUAGGCGUCUCAUGGUGACCACGAAACAAACUAUUGUUGAUUGUCAGCAAAACCCCAUCUGGUUCAUGAAUGUUCUUCAGGAAAAGCUGCUACCAUCCUGACCUUGAUUUGGCUAACAUAACUGCAGACUCACAGCAAUUGAUUGACAUUUAAUUGCCUCUGGACAUUUGGAGAUGGGUAAUAAAUGCUGAUCUAACCAGUGACGUCCAUAUCCCAUGCAUUCAUUUUUUAAAAAGGUAAUAAUGCAUGAUUUCAAUAAAAAGGAAUGCUCUGUAGACUGUAAAAUAGAUUUGUCAUUUGUUAUAGUGUCUUAGAUGACUGCUGAAGUAGAAUUUAAUACCUCUAGUCUAUAGAAUAACUACACUGAUACAGUCAGGUCAUGUAAUGGGCUGAUAAGGGUGAAUUAGUAGCUGUGGUUUACUUGGAUUUUCAGAAGACUUUGGAUAAGGUUUCACAUAAAAGAUUAGCAUGUAAAAUUAAAACAAAUGGGAUUGGAUGUAGUGUACUGACAUGGAAGAACAACUGGUUGGCAGGCAGGAAACUGUGUGUAAGAAUAAACAGGUGGCAGGCAGGGACUAGAAGGUUAGAACAGGGAUCAGUGUGUUGGCCACAGUUAUUCAUAAUGUGUAAUAAUAAUUUAGAUGAGGGAACUAAAUGUGAUCCCUCCAAAUUUGUAGAUGAGACAAAAUUUGGGGGGGGAAGGUGAGCUGCAAGGAUUAUACAAAGAUGCUUCAGUGUGAUUUGGAUAAGUCAAGUGGGCAAGUGCAUGGCAGAUGACAUAUAUUGUAGAUAAAUAUGAGAAUACCCAUUUGGGUAGCAAAAACAGGAAGGCAGAUUACUAUUUGAAUGAUGAUGGAUUUAGAAAGGAGAAAGUGCAAUGAGAUCCAGUGAUCCUUGCACACUUAGUUGCCCGAAGUAAGCAGCAGGUGGUGCAGAAGGCAAAUAGUGUGAGAGGACUUCAUAGUGAGAGGACGUGAGAACAGGAGCAGGGAUGUCUUCGUGCAAUUCUGUGUGGCCUUGGUGAGGCUACACCUGGAAUACUGUAUGCAAUUUGGUCUCCUUUUCUGAAGCAGUGCGUUCUAGCUCGGGAGGGAGUGCAACUGAGGUUGACCAGACUGAUUCCUGGGUUGGCAGAUCUGAUAUAUGAAUAGAGACUGGAUUGGUUAGAACUAUGUUCACUGAAGUUUAGAAGGAUAAGGGAAGAUCUCCUAGAAUCCUAUCAAGUUAUAACAGGACUUAACAGAGUGAUGCAGGAAGGAUCUUCCCAAUGACUAGGGAGUGCAGAACCAGGGGACACAGUCAAAUGAUAUGGGGUAGGCUAUUUAGGACUGAGAUGAAGAGAAAUUUCUUCACCCAGAGUGAUGAGUUUGAGGCAUUCUCCACACAAAGUGGUUGAAGCCAAAGUAUUUAAAGGCUUUGAAGAAGGUGUUAGAUAUAUUUCUUAGGGCUAAAGGGAUCAAAGGUUUAAGGUGAA